ensembl:lncRNA
GUUAUCCAGUGCACCCUCAUCCCAGUGGAAUGCGUUGAAGUGAGAGUCAUGCAGUUCACCGGGCCUAGUCUGCGUAGAGAUAUUUACACGCCAUUUAACACAUUAAGGACUUGCUAAAUUGUCAUCGCACUACAUUCUGUCUAUUUCCGGGUGAAAUCACAGCUCAGAAGUUCGGGUGUUUGUGGACUGUUGACAAAAUAGCGGUUACGUGUGGAAAGGGAGGGUGUACAAAGCAAACAGGGAAAAAAAAUCGAGCGAUCGCUUGUUUCUCUCAGCCUGCUGAAAGAAGCAGGAAGCGAACUAGAGCUGUUCACCUACACCGUUUCGAAUGAAAGACUGCAGUGGACAUUUGAAGGGGAAGAGAGCUCAGCUUUUGCCUUCUUACUGUGAUUGAAACCUGACCGGUAUUUGGAGUUCAAUCCGAGACGCGGACAGUUAACUUUUAACAUUUCGUUUCGGUGAAUUCUAUAGAACUGGCGUCGGACAUUCCAUUCCAGUUGGAAUAACGUGUUCUAAAGAUGCAGCAUCCUCUUCAUCCCAUCAUGGAGCAGGCUGAGAUAUAAGAGACUGUAGAGACAGCAGGGGUUUCCAAACCAUUCCAGGACCCACUUAAACAGUUAUAGUGUACUCCAAGACUCACUGAAAUAUGGGAAGUAUGGAUAAAGGAAAAAAACACACAAACUAGUAAAAGGU